GUCCUUUGGCAGCACAUAUACUAAAAUUGGAAUGACAGACAAUUAGCAUGGCCCCUGCACAGGGAUGACAGGCGAAUUCAUGAAGCAUUCCAUAUUUUU
rnacentral:snRNA from 1 species